rnacentral:lncRNA from 1 species
UUCUUCAACCCUGAAAUCUGACUCCAACCUUACGUUCUCUGGAAUUCUGCGAACAGGAACUCUAUUCAGAAAAGAAGGGAAAGAAUAAAAUUUCUAAUUUAUACCUAGGGUAUUUAUUCGUAAAAUUACACUUUUACCCCUCUUCCACUUUAUUAAAUUAAUUAAUUAAUUAAUUUAAUUAGUAAUAACAAUUUCCUAAAUUACCCUUAAAAGAAAAAGCCCGGGUGUUACAUGAAGCCUUUUCAAGUAUUUUCCAACUACUAUGACGCUUGAUAAAAAGUACAUUAGGUAAUGUUAAAAUACAAUAAAAUGAACCUGGAAUUUUCCACUUUAAUGCCGUUGUCAUGAACCUGAAGGAAAAAAUGUAAACAUUUGGUACAAUUUUAUGGCAAGGUCCCAAGUAUUCCUCUUCACUAAAUCCUAUCUUUACUUUUCCAAUACUUGAAAAACUGACGGCCAUAAAAAAUGGAUGUGGUGGAGGUGAGCCAGAAUGAGGGGGGACCCUUGGGAGGACUUGGCAAUAGCAGCUGGGUGUGACUUUUGCUUUGGUUCUCUCGGUAAAUUAUUGAGCUUCUUUCAUGUUCGGUGCAUCAGUGCAUGUGCGACUUGUGCGACUUUUUGUGUGCUCUUGGAAACAGUACUCCCCAAGAGAUCCUCUCCUACAGAAAAGUGAGGGAAUAAAUACCCUAAACCCAAAGAGAAAAAAGAGAAAGAGCGAUCCUUAAAACCCAAAUCAUCAUCAUUAUUUCCAUUGAUCUACCCCACCAAAUUUAUCUGCACUUUUCAUAAAUUUAUAUCCGGAAUACCAAAAGAAAAGUUAGAGUUGCUUGCAACAUAAUCUCUUUUCUAUUUCUCUAUUUCUUUCUCUCUCCCUGUGGGAAUUGCUUUGCAAUGGAAUCCCAAUGUUUCAUCCCACUCCCACUCCCACUCCCACCAACCGCCAUUUCUUGAGCUUUAAGCCUCUUAUUAUCCAUUGACAUCAGUGUCCCCAGUGUAGUACUCAUUGCAGUUUGGAGAGAUAAAAAGGGAGAUGGAUGUGGUUAAGNNNNNNN